CGCGGCCUAUCAGCUUGUUGGUGAGGUAAUGGCUCACCAAGGCGACGACGGGUAGCCGGCCUGAGAGGGCGACGGGCCACACUGGGACUGAGACACGGCCCAGACUCCUACGGGAGGCAGCAGUGGGGAAUAUUGGGCAAUGGAGGAAACUCUGACCCAGCGACGCCGCGUGAGGGAUGAAGGCCUUCGGGUUGUAAACCUCUUUCAGUAGGGAAGAAGCGAAAGUGACGGUACCUACAGAAGAAGCACCGGCUAACUAUGUGCCAGCAGCCGCGGUAAUACAUAGGGUGCAAGCGUUGUCCGGAAUUAUUGGGCGUAAAGAGCUCGUAGGUGGUUCGAUACGUCGGAUGUGAAAAUCAGGGGCUCAACCCCUGACCUGCAUUCGAUACGGUCGAGCUAGAGUGUGGUAGGGGAGACUGGAAUUCCUGGUGUAGCGGUGGAAUGCGCAGAUAUCAGGAGGAACACCGAUGGCGAAGGCAGGUCUCUGGGCCAUUACUGACACUGAGGAGCGAAAGCGUGGGGAGCGAACAGGAUUAGAUACCCUGGUAGUCCACGCCGUAAACGGUGGGCGCUAGUUGUGCGAACCUUCCACGGUUUGUGCGACGCAGCUAACGCAUUAAGCGCCCCGCCUGGGGAGUACGG
rnacentral:rRNA from 1 species